UCUUUCUACACUUCCAGACCCUGCUCAUGCUGACCGUUGCCUCUUUGCCUAGUACUAUCCACCGCCUUAUUUCUGGAGUGCAGUCACCAUCUCGAUUUAUUUUGGAGCCAAUGAAGAUGAAAUCAUCAACCACUUCGAUCUCUUCAUUAAC